rnacentral:rRNA from 1 species
ACGGUUGUAGCGAUACAAUAGUGGCGCACGGGUGCGUAACACGUAUGCAACCUACCUUAUAGACGGGGAUAGCCUUUGGAAACGGAGAUUAAUACCCGAUAGUACUAUUGACUGGCAUCAGUUAAUAUUUAAAGAUUUAUCGCUAUAAGCUGGGCAUGCGUCCAAUUAGUUAGUUGGUUAGGUAACGGCUGACCAAGACGAUGAUUGGUAGGGGAACUGAGAGGUUAAUCCCCCACACUGGCACUGAGAUACGGGCCAGACUCCUACGGGAGGCAGCAGUAGGGAAUAUUGGGCAAUGGAGGCAACUCUGACCCAGCCAUGCCGCGUGCAGGAUGAAGGCGUUAUGCGUUGUAAACUGCUUUUAUAUAGGAAGAAACAGACCUUGCGAGGUAAUUUGACGGUACUAUAUGAAUAAGCACCGGCUAACUCCGUGCCAGCAGCCGCGGUAAUACGGAGGGUGCAAGCGUUGUCCGGAUUUAUUGGGUUUAAAGGGUGCGUAGGCGGUUUAUUAAGUCAGUGGUGAAAGACGGUCGCUCAACGAUUGCAGUGCCAUUGAUACUGGUAGACUUGAGUGAGAUUGAGGUAGCUGGAAUGGAUAGUGUAGCGGUGAAAUGCAUAGAUAUUAUCCAGAACACCAAUUGCGUAGGCAAGUUACUAAGUCUCAACUGACGCUGAGGCACGAAAGUGUGGGUAUCAAACAGGAUUAGAUACCCUGGUAGUCCACACUGUAAACGAUGAUAACUAACCGUUGGCUUUCGGGUCAGUGGUACAGAGAAAUCGUUAAGUUAUCCACCUGGGGAGUACGCCCGGCAACGUGAAACUCAAAGGAAUUGACGGGGGUCGCACAAGCGGUGGAGCAUGUGGUUUAAUUCGACGAUACGCGAGGACCCUUACUAGGCUAGAUGUGAGUGAAUGUAUCAGA